GCCGGCACGGCCUGGGCGCAGGGUUCCCAGGUUCCCGCCGUCCGCCGGGGCCUCGGACCGUUUGUGGGUUAACGCCGCGGCCGGCAGUCCAGAUCCCGGUCGGGCCUGGGUCUUCCGGGAGGCCCCGGAGCCGCGGACGCCCAAGCGGGUUACAUCAUACCGCUAGUGCCGCGGGAAGGCCUGAUUAAGGACCGGGGCCGACGAUGGAGAUGCAGGACUGAAGGGGGGGGCGUGGAUGGAGGAUGGAGGCCUGGGGGGCUUGCCGGACCAGCACGGGGACCGGACCGGGACACGGGACGGAGAUGGAGGACGGCAGCCUCCACCCUGCCCCCAUCACUCGGUGGCACCAGGUUCGCGGCAGGUGGACUGCUGGCUGCGCCGGUUUUAUUCCCGGCUUUAGGCUGGAAGAAGACUGGUGCGCCAGCACGGCCCCCAGGACCCCAAGACCGCCGCCUCCGCGAAGAGAGGAGCCCCAGGGGGGCCUGAGGGGGCAAAAUAGCAAGACCUGCUCUGCCCACCUGCCCCCCUGAGGCGGCGGCGCUGUAGCUCAGACCUGCGCACCCAGCCACCCUGCCGGCUCCUUGUGCCCUGGCUCCGCACAGCUGUGUAACACGCAUGGGGAUAAAUAGCCCUUUUUUUCA